rnacentral:rRNA from 1 species
CGAGUCUGCCAUCUAAGCACGUUGGUUGGCGGCGAACGGCUCAGUAACACGUAGUCAACCUGCCCUCGGGUCGAGAACAAUCUCGGGAAACUGAGGCUAAUUCUCGAUAGGUCAAGAUUCCUGGAAUGGGUUUUGGUCUAAACGAGGCAACAGCAUCUUGUUGCUUUUCGCCCGAGGAUGGGACUGCGGCCGAUCAGGCUGUUGGUGAGGUAAAGGCUCACCAAACCAGUAACCGGUACGGGCUUUGAGAGAAGGAGCCCGGAGAUGGACACUGAGACAAGGGUCCAGGUCCUACGGGGCGCAGCAGGCGCGAAACCUUCGCAAUGCGCGCAAGCGCGACGAGGUUAUUCCGAGUGAUUUCCGCUGAGGAAAUCUUUUCUCAGAUCUAAAAUGUCUGGGGAAUAAGGGGAGGGCAAGUCUGGUGUCAGCCGCCGCGGUAAUACCAGCUCCUCGAGUGGUCAGGGCGUUUAUUGGGCCUAAAGCAUCCGUAGCCGGCUCAUUAGGUCUCCUGUUAAAUCCAACGGCUCAACCGUUGGUCUGCAGGAGAUACCGAUGGGCUAGGAGGCGGGAGAGGCGGACGGUACUCCGAGGGUAGGGGUAAAAUCCUUUGAUCCCCGGAAGACCACCAGUGGCGAAGGCGGUCCGCCAGAACGCGCUCGACGGUGAGGGAUGAAAGCUGGGGGAGCGAACCGGAUUAGAUACCCGGGUAGUCCCAGCUGUAAACGAUGCGAGCUAGGUGACACAAGGCCUUCGGGGCCUUGUGGUGCCGCAGGGAAGCCGUUAAGCUCGCCGCCUGGGGAGUACGGACGCAAGUCUGAAACUUAAAGGAAUUGGCGGGGGAGCACCACAAGGGGUGAAGCCUGCGGUUCAAUUGGAUUCAACGCCGGG